AUGGACGAGCACCAGGCCGGGGAUCUCGUCAAGGAGCUCGUCCUCCGCCUCGUCCCCGCCGACUCCGGGCGCGACGCGGGCGGCGCGCUGCGGUUCGCGCACCGGCUGCUCUCCAGCCGCCUCGCCCCGGCCGUCCUCCCCGACGAGCACGCGCUGGCGGAGUCCAUCAAGCGCCGCCUCGCCGCCUCCGGCCGCCCCGACGACGCCCUCGCCUUCGCCGACCUCCACUCCAAGCUCUCCGCCCGGUCCCGCCCCGCCUCCCUCUGGCCGCUCCUCUACCUGCUCGACUCGCUCUCCUCCCACCGCCGCGGGGCCGCCUCCUGCCUCCCCGACCUCCCCACCGCCGCGCCGCCGAGGCAUGCCACCUCGCGGGCGCCAGGCACGCCGGCCGGCGGCGUGGCGCUCGUCUCCAACGACCCGGACAACAUCCGCGAGAUCGCGCUGCGGGAGUACACCGAGCUGGUGCUCGACGAGACGGAGGUGUCGGAGGCCACGCUGGUGCGCGACGUGCUCUACGCCUGCCAGGGCAUCGACGGCCGCUACGUUCGGUACGACAAGGCCAGCGACACCUACGACCUGCCCGGCGGAGUCCGCGUGCCCGGCUCCACUCGCACCCUGGUACGCAAGCUGUGCGAGGUCGGCUGGCUGUUCCGCAAGGUGCGAGGCUUCAUCUCCGACAAUGUGAGCCGCUUGCCCUCCCAUGCCGCCACCGAGGUCGGCACUGUUGCUCAGGCCUUCUGCUCAGCUCUACAGGAGGAACUGUCUGAUUACUAUAAGCUACUUGCAGUUCUAGAGUCGUACUCGUUGAAUCCGAUCCCAACACCUGGGUCUGAUUCGGGCGUGUCAGGCAAUUACCUCUCGCUGCGGCGUCUUGUUGUGUGGCUUGCUGAGCCUGCGGUGAAAAUGCGAUUGAUGGCCGUCUUGGUGGAUGGAUGCCGUGGUUUGAGAGGUGGUGGAAUGGCUGGUGCGAUCCAUGGGCACGCGCAGCAUGGGGAUCCCAUGGUUCAAGACUUUAUGGCCCGCUUGCUGCGGCGAGUCUGCUCACCCCUGUUUGAAAUGGUCCGAAGCUGGGUGCUUGAAGGUGAAUUGGAGGACGUAUUUGGCGAGUUCUUCAUUGUUGGGCAGCCAGUUAAGGCUGAAUCUUUGUGGCGGGAGGGCUACCUUAUUCAGUCUGAUAUGCUACCGAGUUUCAUUUCUCCGGUGCUGGCACAAAGGAUCCUCAGAACAGGGAAGUCGAUCAACUUUCUCAGAGUUUGCUGUGAUGAUAAUGGUUGGGCUGAGGCUGCCACUGAGGCUGCAGCCUAUGUUGGCACCACGACAAGUCGAGGUGGGCUUGGUUAUGGGCAGAUUGAUGCUUUGGAGGCAUUGGUGGUUGAAGCAGCCAAGAGGAUUGAUCAACGUUUGAUGGAUGUGAUCCAUAAGCGAUACCGAUUUAAAGACCAUUGUCUUGCUAUCAAGAGAUAUUUGCUUCUCGGGCAGGGUGAUUUUGUUCAGUAUCUGAUGGAUGUUGUUGGUCCAGAGUUGUCAGAACCAGCCAAUAGAAUUAGCUCCUUCCACCUUGCUGGCUUGCUUGAAACUGCAAUACGUGCAUCUGAUGCGCAAUAUGAUGACCGUGACAUCUUGGACCGGAUAAGAGUAAAGAUGAUGGAUCACGGAGAUGGUGAUCGUGGCUGGGAUGUCUUCUCCUUGGAGUAUGACGCUAGGGUCCCUCUGGACACGGUGUUCACAGCUUCAGUCAUGAAGAUGUACCUCAAGAUAUUCAACUUCCUAUGGAAGCUUAAGCGCGUUGACCAUUCUCUGACUGGAGUCUGGAAGACAAUGAAGCCUAAUUGCAUUGUUUCUUCCCCAUUUUACAAGGAAGGGACAAGCAUCAGGGCUCAGUUUGUUUCAGUUCUUCGGAAAUGCCAAGUUCUGUUCAAUGAAAUGAACCAUUUUGUGACCAACUUCCAGUACUACAUUAUGUUUGAGGUCCUGGAGGUUUCCUGGGCUCGUUUUUCAGAAGAAAUGGAUGCAGCAAAAGAUUUGGAUGAUCUUCUCAUGGGACAUGAUAAGUAUCUCACUUCAAUUGUGGAGAAGUCCCUCCUGGGCGAGCGGUCCCUGGGAAUUUUGAGAAAUCUUUUUGCUUUGUUUGACAUCAUAUUACAGUUCCGCAGCCAUGCUGAUAGGUGGUUUGAACGGAUAUAUGAGUUGCAACUAAGGGGAAAGAGUAAACCGAAAACAAAAUCCAAGGAAACAGGUUCAUGGCUGGAGGGGGGCAGAAAAGCCAUGAUUCAACUCGCAGGGGAACUGUUUCGGAAAAUGGGUGAAGAUUUGGAUAGCAUUGCGAAAGAUUAUACAGCUUCUCUCGACUCAUUUAUCUCCCAGUUGCCCCUGCAGCAACAUGUUGAUUUGAAGUUCCUUCUCUUUCGUUUGGACUUCACUGAAUACUACAGCCGUGUUUCAUCCAACAAAUGA
rnacentral:rRNA from 1 species